UACGUAGGUGGCAAGCGUUGUCCGGAAUUAUUGGGCGUAAAGGGCGCGCAGGCGGUUUCUUAAGUCUGAUGUGAAAGCCCACGGCUUAACCGUGGAGGGUCAUUGGAAACUGGGGAACUUGAGUGCAGAAGAGAAAAGCGGAAUUCCACGUGUAGCGGUGAAAUGCGUAGAGAUCUGGAAGAACACCAAAGGCGAAGGCAGCAUCCUGGGAAGUUCCUGACGCUCGGGUGCGAAAGCCAGGGGAGCGAACGGG
rnacentral:rRNA from 1 species